rnacentral:rRNA from 1 species
UACGUAGGGGGCGAGCGUUGUCCGGAUUUAUUGGGCGUAAAGAGCGUGUAGGCGGCCAGGUAGGUCUGCUGUGAAAACUCGAGGCUCAACCUCGAGACGUCGGCGGAAACCAUCUGGCUAGAGUCCGGAGGAGGAGAGUGGAAUUCCUGGUGUAGCGGUGUAAUGCGCAGAUAUCGUAAGGAAGACCAGUGGCGAAGGCGGGUCUCUGGACAGUUCCUGACGCUGAGGCACGAAGGCCAGGGGAGCAAACGGG